rnacentral:rRNA from 1 species
UGGGGAAUAUUGCACAAUGGAGGGAACUCUGAUGCAGCGACGCCGCGUGAGUGAUGAAGGACUUCGUUUCGUAAAACUCUGUUCUAUGGGAAGAAAAGGACUGUACCAUAGGAGAAAGCUCCGGCGAAAUACGUGCCAGCAGCCGCGGUAAUACGUAUGGAGCGAGCGUUGUCCGGAAUUAUUGGGCGUAAAGGGUGCGCAGGCGGCUUUACAAGUUGGAUGUGAAAUAUUGUGGCUCAACCACAAACGUGCAUCCAAAACUGCAAAGCUUGAGUUAAGGAGAGGUAAGUGGAAUUCCUGGUGUAGCGGUGGAAUGCGUAGAUAUCAGGAGGAAUACCGGUGGCGAAGGCGACUUACUGGACUUAAACUGACGCUCAGGCACGAAAGCGUGGGGAGCAAACAGG